GCACUGCUGAGGAGUCCCACAAUAGGACGAAACGGCAGUCCAGUGA
rnacentral:hammerhead_ribozyme from 1 species